GACGAACGCUGGCGGCGUGCUUAACACAUGCAAGUCGAACGGAAAGGCCCUGCUUUUGUGGGGUGCUCUACUGGCGAACUGGUAACUAACACUUGAGUAACCUGCCCUUGCCUUUGGGAUAACUUCAGGCAACUGGGGCUCAUCCCGGCUAGGAGCUCUUGCUUCAUGGUGGGGGUUCGUAAGUUUCGCCGGUUGGGGAUGGACUUGCGGCUUAUCACCUUGUUGGUGGGGUAGUGGCUUACCAAGGCCUUGCCGGAUAGCCGGCUUGAGCGGGUGACCGGCCAGAUUGGGACGGAGUGACGGCCGAGACUCAUGCGGGAGGGAGCAGGGGGGAGUAAGGAACAAAGGGCGGAAGCCAGAUGGAGCAACGCCUCGUGCGGGAUGGCGGCAGUCGGGUGGUAAACCGCUUUCGCCUGUGACGAAGCGUGAGUGACGGUAAGGGAGAAAGAAGCACCGGCAAACUACGU
rnacentral:rRNA from 1 species